AAAUCUUCUUAUUGUCAUCUUGAUAGUCUUCUUGUACUCCUCAGAUCUUCAAUUUAAAUAGUGCAAUUCUAUUGAGGAAUCUCGAUCUUCAAAGCUGAUUAGCAAAAUUUCAGGUUCAAAUAAAUUGAUUUUCAUCCAAAAUUCACUUAAAAUAGCUGAAAGGAUAAGGGCACAUGAAAUAUUAACAACAAAGAGGGUAUCCAACCGGGACUACUACACAAAAUAUUCCUUAUUGGCAGAGCUUGUUUAAACAUAAAGAACCUUAUGUCCUACUACGUUGUUGAGAAGAUGAUAGUUCUUGGGUAGAAGAUGUCUUGGAUGCAACAAAGAAGGAAUAUGCAAAGUAUGCUCAUGUUCACACACUAUAUUUUCAGAUAUUGGUUAUUUCUGCCCGAUUUCUCACAAGUUUGUGAUGUACAUGAAUUGUAUGUACUAGUUUUUUUUCUUUUUUUCUAAUAUGUGUAUAUCCAAAUGACACUAUCUUUGACAUUUGUAUACCCAAAAGAAGA